rnacentral:lncRNA from 1 species
AACAAUUGAAGAAACCCUAACUAGAAUUGGGGAAUUCUUCUUAGAAUUGUGGAAUUCUAGGGGACUCCAUGGGAGGAAGGAUCCCAUGGAUGAAAAUCCAUCAUACCUUGAUUACAAAGCCCUCACAAGUUUGAAAAUUUGAGACUUGAUCUUGACCUAGAUUCAAUCUCCGUCUUCUUCUUCCAAAUUCUAGAGAGAG